UCCCCGAUAGCUCAGUUGGUAGAGCAGAUGACUGUUAAUCAUCCUGUCGCAAGUUCGAGUCUUGCUCGGGGAGCCA
rnacentral:tRNA from 1 species